GAUUGGGCUACGCCCUAUUAUUUGGCUCCUUUGCUUCUCCCCCUGUGCUGGAUUGGUGUGGCUGCGUUCAUCCUAAUUACAGGGCGGACCUAGGCAGACUUAUAUCUAGGAACGCAAAUUGCUACCUGGAUGUGCUACUUUCUCUCUUUCCCGUCUUCCGGGGCGCAUAGUAGUUUGGCGUGGAUCACAACUUGGAUGGUGAAGCCGCCAUCAAGUGAAUGCUCUCACGAGUAAGAGCUUGGUCUGUCCUGUCGGCGUUGAGGCCGGUGUAGCACUGUUGAGCCUGGUGUCUGCCUUAAAGCAGCUAGAGUGGUGUUGUCGGAGCUAACGCAGCUUCCCCCUCCCUCUCCCUCAACUUGAUGGUUAGGAACGAACUCUUUUUAACCUGAUAUAUGAAGUCGGCUGGCAUCGCCAAGUGUCUCCACGCCACACGCGGCUGCUGUUCUGUCUCUUACGAAGUUUAUCGCGUCCUCUUCAAUCCUCGGUUUGACGCUGGGGUUAUUGUGUAACCUACUGGUGGUAUUGUUUGUCGUACCAGUUGUGAUUGAUUGUGCAUGGGAUUCAUUUUGGACUGAUCUGCAUAACGCAUGUUUAGGGCUUUCUGGCCGU